AACGCCUGUCGCAGAUCUCUCCCUCCCCUGGAGUGAUCACGGAGCCAAAGCCCCUCCCCAGGCCUGGCUCCUCCAGCCCCGCCGGCCCCCCCUGCCUGCGGGGCUUUUUA
rnacentral:sRNA from 1 species